UAUUGUAAAAGAUAGUGACUGUUCUAAAGAGGACAGGUCAGUUUAGGAAUACAGUAAUUGUGUUCCUAUCAGACAACGGAGCUACCGGACACUUGAAUAAGGAAAUACAAGAUUACAAUUUUCCCCUGAGAGGGUUUAAGGGUACAUUGUAUGAAGGAGGAACUAAGAUUCCCGCAUUUAUUUAUAGUCCUUUGCUGAACAAAUCCGCCAAAGGGUCUAGAUAUAAUGGACUCAUGCAUAUGGUUGAUGUGUUCCCUACCCUUCUUAGGCUCACACAAGUGAAGGUCCCUACAGGAUUGGAUGGGGUAGAUCAGUGGGAUGCAAUAAAUGGAAAUUCUGAAAGUCCUAGGU